ACUAAUGUAGUGUAGUGGUUAACACACCAGGCUAGCAAUCAGGAGACUGGGAGUUCUAGUCCUGCCUUUGGCA
rnacentral:tRNA from 1 species